AGCGAACGCUGGCGGCAGGCCUAACACAUGCAAGUCGAACGGAUCCUUCGGGAUUAGUGGCGGACGGGUGAGUAACACGUGGGAACGUGCCCUUUGGUUCGGAACAACUCAGGGAAACUUGAGCUAAUACCGGAUGUGCCCUCCGGGGGAAAGAUUUAUCGCCAUUGGUGCGGCCCGCGCCUGAUUAGCUAGUUGGUGAGGUAACGGCCCACCAAGGCGACGAUCAGUAGCUGGUCUGUGAGGAUGAUCAGCCACACUGGGACUGAGAAACGGCGCAGACUCCUACGGGAGGCAGCAGGGGGGAAUCUUGCGCAAUGGGCGAAAGCCUGACGCAGCCAUGCCGCGUAAAUGAUGAAGGUCUUAGGAUUGUAAAAUUCUUUCAGCGGGGACGAUAAUGACGGUACCCGCAGAAGAAGCUCCGGCUAACUUCGUG
rnacentral:rRNA from 1 species